rnacentral:rRNA from 1 species
ACGGGAGGCAGCAGUGAGGGAUAUUGCACAAUGGGGGAAACCCUGAUGCAGCGACGUCGCGUGAGGGAAGAAGGUUUUUGGAUUGUAAACCUCUGUCUUUGGAGAAGAUAAUGACGGUAUCCAAAGAGGAAGCUCCGGCUAACUACGUGCCAGCAGCCGCGGUAAUACGUAGGGGGCGAGCGUUGUCCGGAAUUACUGGGUAUAAAGGGAGCGUAGGCGGGUUUGUAAGUUGAAUGUGAAAUUUAUGGGCUUAACUCAUAAACUGCGUUCAAAACUGCAGAUCUUGAGUAGAGUAGAGGCAGGCGGAAUUCCUAGUGUAGCGGUGAAAUGCGUAGAUAUUAGGAGGAACACCAGUGGCGAAGGCGGCCUGCUGGGCUUCAACUGACGCUGAGGCUCGAAAGCAUGGGGAGCAAACAGGAUUAGAUACCCUGGUA